rnacentral:rRNA from 1 species
AGUUUGAUCCUGGCUCAGAUUGAACGCUGGCGGCAGGCCUAACACAUGCAAGUCGAACGGUAACAGGAAGCAGCUUGCUGCUUCGCUGACGAGUGGCGGACGGGUGAGUAAUGUCUGGGAAACUGCCUGAUGGAGGGGGAUAACUACUGGAAACGGUAGCUAAUACCGCAUAACGUCGCAAGACCAAAGAGGGGGACCUUCGGGCCUCUUGCCAUCGGAUGUGCCCAGAUGGGAUUAGCUAGUAGGUGGGGUAACGGCUCACCUAGGCGACGAUCCCUAGCUGGUCUGAGAGGAUGACCAGCC